UACUGUCCGCGUGAGGGAUAGCAUUGGAAAUCCUUUUGUGAGGCACGAACAAAAGAUUGGAACGGAUAGCCCGACCCUUU
rnacentral:sRNA from 1 species